rnacentral:rRNA from 1 species
CCCGAACCCAAGGCGACGAUCGGUAGCUGGUCUGAGAGGACGAUCAGCCACACUGGGACUGAGACACGGCCCAGACUCCUACGGGAGGCGGCAGUGGGGAAUUUUCCGCAAUGGGCGAAAGCCUGACGGAGCAAGACCGCGUGGGGGAAGAAGGGCUCUUGGGUUGUAAAACCCCUUUUCUCUGGGAAGAAAGUUGUGAAAGCAACCUGACGGUACCAGAGGAAAUCAGCAUCGGCUAACUCCCGUGCCAGCAGCCGCGGUAAGACGGAGGAUGCAAGCGUUAUCCGGAAUGAUUGGGCGUAAAGCGUCCGCAGGUGGCAGUUCAAGUCUGCUGUCAAAGACCGGGGCUUAACUUCGGAAAGGCAGUGGAAACUGAACAGCUAGAGUAUGGUAGGGGCAGAGGGAAUUCCUGGUGUAGCGGUGAAAUGCGUAGAGAUCAGGAAGAACACCGGUGGCGAAGGCGGGUCUCUGGGCCGUUACUGACGCUGAGGAGCGAAAGCGUGGGGAGCGAACAGGAUUAGAUACCCUGGUAGUCCACGCUGUAAACGUUGGGCACU